CGCCAUUUGGGCUGUUUCAAACCGCCAUAAAAAGUCACCGUUUUUAUCAAAUUCAGUUUGGUUUUCACUAAACCACUAGAAAGUAUGCCCAGAUUUGAUAUAGACGAUAAAAAAAAUUGUGUUAGAGGCACUUUAAGUUAUGUGCCUUUAUGAGUUUAUGAUCAUUUCCCAAGUUUGUUUAUGCCAAAUUGCUUACAAAAAGAAUUAAAAACUCUUGACCAAAUGAAAACUAUUUUGUCAUCAUGCCAUGCAUAAAAUAAAUAAAUAAUCACACGGACAAGUCGUGCAAUUAAUUAUUAAUGGCUU